CCUACGGGAGGCAGCAGUGGGGAAUUUUGGACAAUGGGCGCAAGCCUGAUCCAGCCAUGCCGCGUGCAGGAUGAAGGCCUUCGGGUUGUAAACUGCUUUUGUACGGAACGAAAAGGUUCUUUCUAAUAAAGAGAGCUCAUGACGGUACCGUAAGAAUAAGCACCGGCUAACUACGUGCCAGCAGCCGCGGUAAUACGUAGGGUGCAAGCGUUAAUCGGAAUUACUGGGCGUAAAGCGUGCGCAGGCGGUUAUGUAAGACAGUUGUGAAAUCCCCGGGCUCAACCUGGGAACUGCAUCUGUGACUGCAUAGCUAGAGUACGGUAGAGGGGGAUGGAAUUCCGCGUGUAGCAGUGAAAUGCGUAGAUAUGCGGAGGAACACCGAUGGCGAAGGCAAUCCCCUGGACCUGUACUGACGCUCAUGCACGAAAGCGUGGGGAGCAAACAGGAUUAGAUACCCUGGUAGUCCACGCCCUAAACGAUGUCAACUGGUUGUUGGGUCUUCACUGACUCAGUAACGAGCUAACGCGUGAAGUUGACCGCCUGGGGAGUACGGCCGCAAGGUUGAAACUUAAAGGAAUUGACGGCUGAGAGNGCGACGACGACGACGAGGGAGGAGG
rnacentral:rRNA from 1 species